rnacentral:rRNA from 1 species
CUACGGGAUGCUCCAGUGGGGAAUAUUGCACAAUGGAGGAAACUCUGAUGCAGCAACGCCGCGUGGAGGAUGACACUUUUCGGAGCGUAAACUCCUUUUAUAUAGGAAGAUAAUGACGGUACUAUAUGAAUAAGCACCGGCUAACUCCGUGCCAGCAGCCGCGGUAAUACGGAGGGUGCAAGCGUUACUCGGAAUCACUGGGCGUAAAGAGCGUGUAGGCGGGUUAAUAAGUCAGAAGUGAAAUCCUAUGGCUCAACCAUAGAACUGCUUUUGAAACUGUUAACCUAGAGUGUGGGAGAGGUAGAUGGAAUUUCUGGUGUAGGGGUAAAAUCCGUAGAGAUCAGAAGGAAUACCGAUUGCGAAGGCGAUCUACUGGAACAUAACUGACGCUGAGGCGCGAAAGCGUGGGGAGCAAACAGGAUUAGAUACCCGCGUAGUC